UGGGGAAUAUUGGACAAUGGGGGCAACCCUGAUCCAGCCAUGCCGCGUGAGUGAUGAAGGCCUUCGGGUUGUAAAGCUCUUUUGGCGGGGACGAUGAUGACGGUACCCGCAGAAUAAGCCCCGGCUAACUUCGUGCCAGCAGCCGCGGUAAGACGAAGGGGGCUAGCGUUGUUCGGAAUUACUGGGCGUAAAGCGAGUGUAGGCGGUUGCCGUAGUCAGGUGUGAAAGCCUUGAGCUCAACUCAAGAAAUGCACUUGAUACUGGGUGACUAGAGGACCGGAGAGGAUAGUGGAAUUCCCAGUGUAGUGGUGAAAUACGUAGAGAUUGGGAAGAACACCAGUGGCGAAGGCGGCUAUCUGGACGGUUACUGACGCUAAGACUCGAAAGCGUGGGGAGCAAACAGGAUUAGAUACCCUGGUAGUCCACGCCGUAAACGAUGGGUGCUAGACCGUUGGCGAGCUUGUCGUCAGUGUCGCAGCUAACGCGUUAAGCACCCCGCCUGGGGGAGUACGGCGCAAGGUUNAAACUCAAAUGAAUUGACGGGGGUCAUACUG
rnacentral:rRNA from 1 species